AAGACACUCCCGUGAGUUGCUUCCCAUCCACCGCUUCUGUGCCAGACCCGCGCCUCUAGGAGACUUGGCGCCAGCCAGCCCAGUUUAGCGGCCCAGCUGGGCUCCCCCGCGGUCCUGGGUCUGGCCGGGGUGUGGGCCGCGGCCUCGGUGACCCCAUCCCGCAGCGGCCCGGCCUGUCCCGUCCACUUAAACAAAUUGCGGCUGACAGGCGCGCAGUCUCUCUGGAGCCGCCGCCCGCCCGUCGCCUCCCUCCCGCCCCAAUUACCCCGCGCAGAGUCGGGCCAACUGACUGGGAUGGGGCGGGGGACGCGGGAAGAGCAGGCAGCUAGACCCCCUUCUGGUCGCGGUGUGGCUGCGGUCUUGUGCUAGGACUGGCUGCGGAACCACUUCCUCUAGUUAGGCUCUGGGAAGUGCCUCCGUAGCCAUGGUCUGUGUGGCCCAGGCCCCUUGUCUUUCAGGCUCAUGGGAAGGCGAGGCCCAGCCUGGCUGUUAUGGGGCGGAAUGGAUCUGGCUGGCCCUCGAGGGGCGUCGCUCUGCACCUGAGACAGAGAGUGCGGCCUGGAAUCCAGGCCGUGCCUCCUCCGGACUUCAAGCGCCUUCCUCAGAGUUUGGGGAUCUUGUUACCCUAGGAACUGCGGACUACUUACUGCUCUGGGCCGCGGUUUCGCGGGUCGCAGCUGUGCGCUUAGGACAUAAAGGUCCACAAUAGUGAGAUGAGGACCCUGAAGCCCAGAGGAGCAGUAAUUCACCCAAGGCCAUAUGACUACUGGUGGCAGAGCUGUAAUGGAAUCCUGGGACAGUAAAGGAGCAAGCCCAAAGUCACUCCUUAUUAGAAGGUGGUGAUGACAUUGCUGCCAAGCUGCCUUCUUAUGCUCAUAGGGCAAGGUCACACUGACACUCCAGGAUCUCCACCCUCCUGAGGUCUUGUUUUGAAUACAAGGAUGCUCUCUCCUUUUGUCCUUAGAGCUUCCAGGUCUAGGUCUGCAGGAGAGCACUGCCUUCCCAGUUAUACAGGGGCCCUGACCUGGAAGCUUGAAGGGGUAAGGAAGGCAUUGGGGUUAGUAGGAUGAGUCCAAGAUUAUGUGGGGGCACAGGACAGGGAGCUCAGGUCAGAUUUGGGCCCUUGUAAGGGAACUGGCUGGGGCAUGGGAAGCAGCAAGGUAUAGACAGGGUUUAGCUGGCUAGCUGUAUGGCUCUGACUUAGGCAAAGCCCUGCCUUUCUCAGGCUUGUCAUCUGCAAAACAGGGACCAAAGAGUUUUGUAGUUUAGAGAUUCUCCGAUCUGUGAAAAUAAAAGAUGAGCAUUGAGAAACCAACCCCAGCUGCAGAAUGGUAGCUGCCUGACUUGACUUCUGCAUGCCUCCUGAAAAGCUGGUCCUAAUAUUUGUGUCUGUGCAUGAAUUUGCCUUGGGACCACUGGAUUUUUUUUUUUCUCAAGUCAACCCCAAACAGUGCUGUUCCUUUUGAGUUGCCACUCCAGGUUCCUGAAGAUAUUUUCCCUCCAUCAGAUUGAGUCCAUAGUAUUUUGCCCAUUGAAUGUGCUGUGAGAAUCAGAGAGAUCCCAUGGCUUCCUCAAGGUCACCUGGUCCAGCCAUAAUUAGAUUCAAGUUCUGAUGACCUUGUAGGUGAUGCUAUCAUAAGGUCUGUUGGGACUAUUGGGGAGGGGGUGGAGAUUGCCCUGGAGUUAUCUUUAGAGGUAGGAGGCUGGCUGCUCCAGGGGGCUGUAAGGUCCCCUGCCCUGGGGCCCAGAUCACACUUCCAGCUGAUUACUGGCUGUGGCAGGGUCUAUAACCUCCCCAAUUAGCCAGGGGCCAGGCCCAGGGCCUUUCUGAUAACCUGAGCUCCAGUGGCAGCCGCCAUGGGGCCAGCUUAUCUGGGCUUUCUGAUCCUUCCCCUUCCCCCACAUACUCCAAGAGUUGCCCUGACUGUGAGCAGAUGAAUAACCAGAUUGUCCUGCAAGCUCAGCCAGCAAGUCCAGCCCUACACCCACCACUUUCCCUGACUGGAGGAGGCCACAGCUGUUUUGCCCCCACUGGAGGGGAAGGGCUGGGCCAGGGAGGACUCCUGACUCCAAGGUGCUCUGCUGGUUCCCUGCAUGGCUGAGAGCUCCCGGGAGCAAGGUCUUCGCCCUAUCCACAUGCCCCGGGGUGGGUGCAAAGGGGCUCAUGCUUCCUAGAACUUCUGCUCACAGCCCCAGAGAGCCAGGCCACAGGCAGUAUACACAGGCAGCCUGGUGACAUCCUCUUCCCUUUUGACUGAAAUGCUACCUUAGCUGGGGGCUGGGGCCGUGCCUGGCAUGUCAGUCAGUGUCUCCAGUGCAGCGCAAAUGGGGACAAGCUACCACUCCUGCAGCACCUGCCACUGGCUGUGCCCAGGCCUCCUUGUAUUUCCAGAACACCUCACUCUGGCUCAGUGUUUCUCACUCCACAGGAGCCCAGGCAGGAGGGACCAUCUCCUCAGCCUACAGAGUCUAGUGUGAUGUGGGUCUCUUCUUCCCACAUGCCCAAAUGACCUCAUGGAGGGGACUGCAGAUUAAGUCUCUUCUCAGGCACCAGGAGUGGGAUGGGGUGUGUGAAGGGGGCAGGGGCCCAGGAGGAAGGUGGGAAGUUCUGCUUGUCUGUGAACACAACCCUUCUACAACUGUUCCAUUAAACUCCACCUCAAACCACA